rnacentral:rRNA from 1 species
AUUGAACGCUGGCGGCAGGCCUAACACAUGCAAGUCGAACGAGUGGCGGACGGGUGAGUAAUGUCUGGGAAACUGCCCGAUGGAGGGGGAUAACUACUGGAAACGGUAGCUAAUACCGCAUACCAUCGGAUGUGCCCAGAUGGGAUUAGCUAGUAGGGGGGGUAACGGCUCACCAAGGCGACGAGCCCUAGCUGGUCUGCGAGGCUGACCAGCCACACGGGAACUGAGACACGGUCCAGACUCCUACGGGAGGCAGCAGUGGGGAAUAUUGCACAAUGGGCGAAAGCCUGAUGCAGCCAUGCCGCGUGAAUGAAGAAGGCCUUCGGGUUGUAAAGUACUUUCAGCGAGGAGGCGGUACUCACAGAGGAAGCACCGGCUAACUCCGUGCCAGCAGCCGCGGUAAUAC